UCAGUUGCUGGCCUGUCGCGAGGACUCAGAUCCCUAGAAGACUUCUUUCACACUCCAUCCAUUCACACAAGGAAUAAAACCUCAUCCAGCGUUGCCAUCGUCGUCAGAGACCGAGCCAUGUCGGGAGUGAAAAGGGAUAAUAGAUAACCUCGAUACGCAUCUUCACCUCGAAUAAAAGUGGACAUCUGUUGGAACAGAGAGAGUGGAAGUGAAAAAAAAAAUGGUGCCACGAGCAAAAAGGAUGCUUCUUAAUGUACCAAAGAUGAUACAUAGGAUACUUCUGAGCUCUGUUGAAGACCGGUCUGUAGAACGACACCCGUCAACAGCGAGAUGUCCUCACCGGAACGAGAGUAGAAGCUGCAACUGGUUGUCCAUUGAAAAGUAUCCUCCUGUCAUCUAAUACUUCGAAGCCACCAUGACAUAGCACGCAAAGCCAAGCCCCUGCCCUUAAAACCAGCACAAAUACUCGGCCUUCACACUCAAACUCGGGGCUCAAACCAGACCUGUCUCCUCAAGGCUGGCUUCAGGGCGGAUUCUUGCGGCAGGAGUCGGGUUCCGUUGGCUCCUGACGCUGCGGCUGGGAGGCAAACGGCAGCAAGGUCUAUAGAAACUCUCCAACGGGCGGUCGGCGGUCGGAGCGAGGGUGAAACAGCUGAUGCAAAGAUGAUGCUGACUCACUGUGACUGGAACCCUCUACGGACAAGAGCUUAGCCGAAGCGUCGUGAUCAGUCGUCGCGGUUCCAGUGGAAGAGUCGUAACCCUUCCGCGCGCUGCGACUCCCUUGCAACUCCCGUGCGAAUAGUGUCUGCCAC